rnacentral:rRNA from 1 species
UGCCUAAGGUAUGCAAGUCGAACGGAAAGGCCCUUCGGGGUACUCGAGUGGCAGACGGCUGGGUAAUGCAUGAGAACUUGCCCUAAAGUCAGGCAUAGCCAUGAGAAAGCGUGGGUAAUUCCUGAUAUCUCUUCGGAGGAAAGCUUUUGCGCUUUAGGAUAGGCUCAUGUCCUAUCAGGUUGUUGGUGGGGUAACUGCCUACCAAGCCUAUGACGGGUAGCUGGUUUGAGAGGAUGUCCAGCCAGACUGGGACUGCGAUACGGCCCAGACUCCUACGGGAGGCAGCAACUAGGAAUCAUGCGCAAUGGACGAAAGUCUGACGCUGCGACGUCGCGUGCUGGAUGAAGGCUCUAGGGUCGUAAACAGCUUUUAUCGGGGAACAAGUUCUGAGUGUACCCGAUGAAUAAGUGCCUGCUAAUCACGUGCCAGAAGCAUCGGUAAUGCGUGAGGCACAAGCGUUAUCCGGAUUUACUGGGCGUAAAGAGAUGCGUAGGCGUCCCGAAAAGUUUUAUGUUAAAUACUGAUGCCCAACAUCAGAGUUGCAUAGAAAACUUUCAGGAUUGAGUCGAGUAGAGAAGGGGGGAAUUCCAGGUGGAGCGGUUAAAUGCGUUGAUAUCUGGAGGAACACCAAAAGCGAAGGCACCCCUUUGGACUCGUACUGACGCUAAGGCUCGAAAGCGUGGGUAGCAAAGCGGAUUAGAUACCCGUGUAGUCCACGCCCUAAACUAUCCCUGCUAGAUAUUUG